CUCAAAUGUUACAUGCGCCCAUUGUGCGGGAUCACACACCUUUUCUGUUGAUGCAGUGGGUAAUUUGAUUUUAUUGGUUUGGUACUCAUCUUAGAGAUCGCCUUUUUAUCUUUUUGGUUAAUUUAGAUCAAAUUUCUGAGAAGAUUAAGAAUUGCAUGAAGGAAAAUGUAGAACUUGCAGAAACAAUAUGCAUUUUUGAACAGAAGGUACAAUCACCCCCCCAUUUUUUUUUCAUUUUUAUGGUUUCACGUGGAAUGAUGUCCACUUCCAGGUCACUGAUUUUGCCAUCUCCUCUUUCAUCCUAGUGCCCCUUUCAUUCCAUUCUAUACCAGGCUGAAUUUAAAGCAAGCAUCACAUAUGUAAAGUGUUGCUUCCUUUAUUUCCAUAAGGACUUACCCACGGGAGAUCGGUUUUGCUGUCACCAUAAUUAAUUUUUUGAAUUCUGAAUCCUCUAUUAUAUAUUUGUGUAGAUCAAUGAAGCAAAGAAAUGUACUCAAGAAACCAUGUGGCCAAAGAAGCUUCCCUCUUAUGGAGCCCAUAGACUUAAGCUAAAAUCCUUUUCCAGGAGACAAUAUCCUGACAGUGGAGCAAUUCAGAUCAUUGUUUUUGUUGUUCAGCAUGGUUUGCAUUCUUCUCAACUAGUGUCUUUGAGGUGCCAGAACCGGAUGAACUGUCUACCCUCCUCUGGCCGGCCGUCUAGCUCACACAGGAGCACCCGUGGAUCUAACAAUCAUCUCACUACAUCUAACAGGAUUCAUCCCAAUGACAGCAGUUUUGCUGCUCCUAUCACUACCAUAUUGGCACCUGGAAUUGCUAUACUAUUAACAGAUUGAAACCUUAAUACUACAUGCUUUGUCGCAGCCAGAGGAGGGGACCCCAGUGUUUAUCAGCAUCUAUUCUGAUUCUUUGGACACCACGAAGUAGGUGUCCUCAUUUUACAAGGUUUCAGGAUAAUCUCACCUACUAUUCAUGCAAAAAAGAGCCCUUCAGGUACGUGGGAAUAGUCUGAGCAAUAAUAUCUAUUGGUUUCUUUGGCUUUAUCAUAUGGCCCACCAUAUGUUUACUGUAGGGAUAGACGGUGAAACACGAGCAUACUUUACAUCAGCUACUGUAAUUAUUACUAUACCAACAGGAGUCAAUGUAUUCAGCUGACUUGCCACCCUUC
rnacentral:lncRNA from 1 species